rnacentral:tRNA from 1 species
AGAAAAGUAGGCUAUUUUUAAGCCAUUAGAUUCAUGCUCUAAGGAAACUGUUUGGUCUUUUCUU